rfam:Bacteroides graminisolvens DSM 19988 = JCM 15093 DNA, contig: JCM15093.contig00002.
GUAAAGACAAAGGGGUGCCCUAAAGGCUGAGAUUAUACCCUACGAACCUGAUGCAGAUAAUACUGACGCAGGGAAUUGUUAUUUUUCUUUUC